rnacentral:sRNA from 1 species
AGGCUUUUAGUCAAUUAUCCUAAAACACCAAUCAUGUCGUUAUAGUAUUUUAUGUUGUCAAUCCAAAUGGGUGUGAUGCUAACAAUCAAGAUGUGAUCAGAAGUCACUAAGUCAAGCCAAUCAAUAACAGGUUUUGGUGUGUUCUAGCAGUCCUAAGUGAACAUGCAAAAAACAGAAAAUCAAAAAGAAACAGUGAAACACUCGACCAACACAGCUCUUUGUAGAGCACUGGGUGAGGUCGAGUGACAGGUCGAGUAACAGACAGAAAAUAAAACACAGAUACUCGACUGCACAGUCUGUUGCCAGACAACUAGGUGGUCGAGUACGAGGUCGAGUAACAAGAAAGAAUUGCAGAAAUUAAGCGACAGAUAACAGGAUGCAGUAAACAACAGUAGAGGAAACAAAGAAUUCAAUCAGAUAAAGAAUUCCCAAGGAUGGGGUAAUUGAGUAGUUUCGUUUCCUCAGUUUACAGGUGAUUGACAUGCUCAAUAAAUUAACCAUAGACAAAAAGUUCAUUAACCAAAUCUAAGUGCCACCGCAACAGAGAUUCUCAAGUUAACCUAGUCUCAGACUCAAUCACCAUUGACGAGAGCUAACCUAACAGGCAUUACGAAUCAACAAGUUAAAGAUAAAACGCUCCCUGUAACCAAUACCUUGGUACAGGGUCACGAAUCUCUGGAAUUAGUGGUUCAGACAUUUCAUCGAACACCUUUUGGGCGCGGAAAUGUCUGGGCUCAAAUUCCAGGUUAUCAGAAAGCAAUAUGCAUUAAGAACAACUAAUCCAGAAGGGAUCUAUCAACCAAUACUCAAUCACCUAGCAUACUGAGAAUUCUAUACUACUCUAACCCAUCCUUAGAAACCUAUUCACUACUCAGACAUCAUAACAGAAAGCAUAAAUGUUGAACAGGUUGAAGACAUGAUAACAGCAGUGUAACAGCAGGAUGAUAACAGAAUGAACAACAGUAAACGAAAAUCAAGAACAAAAGCUGAAUACUGAAUAGAUAAAGAGAAAUCCGGAUUACAAAAGGUCUAGAACACAAAGUCUGCAGAAUAAAACUAAAUAAAAAA